rnacentral:tRNA from 1 species
GGAGGGGUGUCAGAGCGGUUUAUUGUGGUCGUCUUGAAAACGACUGGGCGCAAGCCCCGGGGGUUCGAAUCCCUCCCCCUCCG